rnacentral:snoRNA from 1 species
AAACCAUGAUGGGGGCAAAGCCUAAGCAUUUCUUUGAAACGCUCCCACGCAUCGUAAAGAGAUUCACCAUCUUUUUGAGUGAAUUGAGUGAUUUGACUCCUCAAUUG